rnacentral:lncRNA from 1 species
GAAAUCAAACUUACUGCGUUAAUGUUAUUUUUAUCCUUUAAUCUCACCAGAGGAAAAGUGAAUGUGAAUCUAAGCACAGACUUUAGACCCGCACUGAUGUGUUUUAAGUGGAGGUUAAGUGGUUUAAAUCAUCUUAUAAUGUACAACUGUGCUGUAGUGAUGUGCCAUGCACAAUGAAAACACACAAACAAAAGAAGUAAUUGUAUACAACUCAAAGGUUGCCUGGUGUUAAGAUUCAUGGUGUGGUUUUAGUUAGCCUGUUGGAUGGACUGCAGUGCAAUCUGCUGGGAUCUACUCGAUCUGUUCCUGCCGUGAUCUGCUGGGGGCCGUGCCCAUCUUCUUUCUUCUUCUCCUCCCAUAUUUUGUUAACUAAUAAACGGGGAUCCCUGAGAUGGUGCCUGGGGGUGAACAGCUUUGCCCUGUGAUGGGGGCUUGCCUGCCAGCCUUUCCUGCAUUGCUCCAGAGGUUUCCUCCCAACAUUUGUCAGGGGAUGUUGAGAAAUUAAAUGGGAAAACUGCCAACAUUUGGAGAGGCUCUAAUGAAGAGAGUGCUGAUGCUGAAACGGCUCGGUUUACAUAAAAACCUCAUCUUCCUUAACCACCUUUCAUCCCAGUAUUUGCUAGUGAUGUUUGUAUAUGCCCACAACUAGGAUUUUGUAUUCCCAGAGCUGUGCAUUUGGAAGAGAUGGCCGAGACUACAACUGACAUGCUGAUACAACGGCCGGAAGAAAGAGCAGAUGAGCACAGCCCAGAGAAAGUCAACAUGCAAAACAGAAGUACUGGAGUAACCUUUGAAACAAAGGACUUCAAAGUGACAGCAGGCUGCGUAUCUGGCACUAGCGAAACAAGUGGAACAUCCAGUGAUGGAGAUGAUGAAGAUGACCAAGAUGAAACAUACUUUUCUGUUUCUCUGUCUCCCACUGGAAUCAGAACCAGCAGGAAGAGGCCAAAGAAAAAGAGUAGGCAGUCACCAGCUCAGAAGAAAAUGAAAACAGUUGAUAUGGAAGAAGUGAUGUUGGUACCAGAAAAGGUAGAGGACAGAGAAGCAGCAGUACAGGAAAAGGGGGAGAACAGAGCAGAAAAAGCACAGCAAGCAACUGCUCAGUGUUCAGUAUCUGAAACUGUCAAGUUUGUGGUCCUUGCACUCUCUGUGUUUCUGAUCUUCGUGCAUCUGACUAUGAUGGUAAUACUAACAGUCUGCUCGUGA